rnacentral:tRNA from 1 species
UCUGUUGUAGUCUAGUUGAUUAGGAUACUUAGCUCUCACUCGAGGGACCCGGGUUCAAAUCUCGACAACGGAA